UCACUGUUCUGACAUCUCUGACUUUCUGGGU
rnacentral:piRNA from 2 species